GAGUUUGAUCAUGGCUCAGAUUGAACGCUGGCGGCAGGCUUAACACAGCAAGUCGAGCGGUAGCAGGCCCUUCGGGGUGCUGACGAGCGGCGGACGGGUGAGUAAUGCAUAGGAAUCUGCCCGGUAGUGGGGGAUAACCUGGGGAAACCCAGGCUAAUACCGCAUACGUCCUACGGGAGAAAGGGGGCUUCGGCUCCCGCUAUCGGAUGAGCCUAUGUCGGAUUAGCUGGUUGGUGAGGUAACGGCUCACCAAGGCGACGAUCCGUAGCUGGUCUGAGAGGAUGAUCAGCCACAUCGGGACUGAGACACGGCCCGAACUCCUACGGGAGGCAGCAGUGGGGAAUAUUGGACAAUGGGGGCAACCCUGAUCCAGCCAUGCCGCGUGUGUGAAGAAGGCCCUCGGGUUGUAAAGCACUUUCAGCAGGGAAGAAAACCCGGGAGUUAAUACCUCCACGGGCUUGACAUUACCUGCAGAAGAAGCACCGGCUAACUCCGUGCCAGCAGCCGCGGUAAUAC
rnacentral:rRNA from 1 species